UAUGACAUCGUCUACCAUCAUCAAUUUACACAGAAAGCAAGCUAGCAUGCAGCGACAAUCAUACCGAGCAUUCAAAGCAAAUACCUUGACUCCACAGACCCCAUAAAAGCACGACAACUAACUAAAGGACAGCAGAAGGAGAACUGCAUUAAAAGGGAUAGGUAUGUUAAGUCAGGCACCUUGGAGCCAUCUCAACUCAAACCAGGUGGAUUCAUCCUGAAGAGCAGCAAGACCUGAAAACUUCUACAGGACCAAACAGAUACAUUUCAUCUUAAUGGACAAAAGGCUGAUAAAUCUGACACCACAGAUAGAUAAAAGCACUUGGGAUAAGCAGCAUAAAGGGGAGUACAGAAUCCAUUCUUCCAAAGAAGCUAAGGAUCAAGAGAAUGAGAAGAUAAACCACAGACUGACAGUAAAUAUUUGCAAAAGCCCUAUCUGAUUAAGAAU